UAAGGAAUAGUUAAAUUAUAAUUCUAGUUUGUCAGACUAGUGUUGGGAACAAGUUCCCUUUCUUAA
rnacentral:tRNA from 2 species